rnacentral:tRNA from 1 species
UUACGAAUAGCUGAAUGGUUAGCAGUCGGCUCAUAACCGGCGAUCCCGGGUUCGAAUCCCGUUUCGAUGG